rnacentral:rRNA from 1 species
AGAUUGAACGCUAGCGGGAUGCUUUACACAUGCAAGUCGAACGGCAGCGCGGACUUCGGUCUGGCGGCGAGUGGCGAACGGGUGAGUAAUAUAUCGGAACGUGCCCAGUAGCGGGGGAUAACUACGCGAAAGCGUGGCUAAUACCGCAUACGCCCUACGGGGGAAAGGGGGGGAUCGCAAGACCUCUCACUAUUGGAGCGGCCGAUAUCAGAUUAGCUAGUUGGUGAGGUAAAGGCUCACCAAGGCGACGAUCUGUAGCUGGUUUGAGAGGACGACCAGCCACACUGGGACUGAGACACGGCCCAGACUCCUACGGGAGGCAGCAGUGGGGAAUUUUGGACAAGUGGGGGAAACCCUGAUCCAGCCAUCCCGCGUGUGCG